rnacentral:rRNA from 1 species
AGUAAGGGCGACUGAAAGGGGACCAGCCCAGCGCAUAACCUCGCGGUCUGAUACGGCCGUCGAGGGGUGUUGCGUUUUGGUGGAUCCGUACCGCUCGAGCUGCUGACCGCCUAAGUCAUUGCUUGAAUGCAGCCCCGAGGAGGGUGGUAGGCCCGUGUGGCGGCGCCUGUAAAAAGGUUUUAGGCAGCUUGGGCGGAGGGGUCUUUACCGUAGAGUCGGGUUGCUUAGUACUGCAGCCCUAAGUAGGUGGUAAACUCCAUCUAAGGCUAAAUACUACCACGAGUCCGAUAUUGGACAAGUACCGUGAGGGAAAGCUGAAAAGGACUCUGAAGAGAGAGUUCAAGAGGACGUGAAACCAUUAGAAGCUCAAACGGGUGGAACCGUGAAGGUCGAAAGAGGGGAUUCAGCUGGCAGGGCGUGGGCUCUAGCGGCGGUUCAAGUUGCAUUUCAGUGAGAGGACCCGGCCAUGAAGUUUGUGGCGGCGGCCCCGCCGCUGGUGUGCCGCGACCUGCGGGCUUAUUUCUCCCUCGAGUAGAGUGGGUCGCGACCCGCUGUCCGGGCUCCCAGGGCCGUGCGGGACUGGUAGCCCGCGCCUUUGGCGCGGGUGAUGACCCGCUGCGGUGCUGACCGGGCCUGGGCGGCGGUCACUGCAAGGAGGCCGCGGAGAGAAGAAUGCGGCCUCUCGCGACGUGAGAGGGAUUGGUAAUCCACCCGACCCGUCUUGAAACACGGACCAAGGAGUCCAACAUGUGCGCGAGUCUAAGGGUUGUCUAAACCCGGAGGCGAAAUGAAAGUGAGCUCUGUAGUCUGGGCAGGCCGAUCCCCUGCUGGCUGGGGCCCGUUGGGCCAGCCGGGUCGAGAGAAUGUCCCUGGCUGGUUCCGGCGGGCGUCCGGCCGGCGGCCCGUCGGUCUGGCGACCGGCGGGAGGUGGGGCGCAGGCCGAGGACUUGGCGUGGUGCGGCCCGGGGAACGGGGGGCUUCCGGGCUCCCUGGACCCGUGGUCCGCGGCCAAGUACCUGAGAGCGCAGCCGUUGGGACCCGAAAGAUGGUGAACUAUGCCUGGCGAGGACGAAGCCAGAGGAAACUCUGGUGGAGGUCCGAAGCAGUUCUGACGUGCAAAUCGAUUGUCAGAGCUGGGUAUAGGGGCGAAAGACUAAUCGAACCAUCUAGUAGCUGGUUCCCUCCGAAGUUUCCCUCAGGAUAGCUGGCAUUCGGAGGUGUGAGUUUCAUCCGGUAAAGCGAAUGAUUAGAGGCCUUGGUGGUGCAAUGCCGUCAACCUAUUCUCAAACUUUAAAUGGGUGAGACGUGGAGCUUGCUUGAGACGUGAAGCUCUAUGAUGCAAAGAAUCAGAGUGCCUAGUGGGCCACUUUUGGUAAGCAGACUG